AUGGCCAUGGAGGCGGCUCUUGUCAGCGUGGCGACAGGGGUCCUCAAACCUGUCCUGGGGAAGCUGGGUGUUCUGCUCGGCAACGAGUUCAAGCGUUUCAAAGGUGUGCGCAAGGAGAUCAAGUCUCUCACUCACGAGCUUUCUGCCAUGGAGGCUUUUCUCCUCAAGAUGUCGAAGGAGGAGGAUCCCGAUGAGCAGGAUAAAGCGUGGAUGAAUGAGGUGCGGGAGCUAUCCUACGACAUGGAGGAUGCCAUCGAUGACUUCAUGUUGUGUGUUGAUGACAAGGACACAAAGCCAGAUGGUUUCAUAGAUAAGAUCAAGUGCUCACUAGGGAAGUUGGGGAAGAUGAAGGCUCGUCGUCGAAUUGGCAGAGAGAUACAAGAUUUGAAGAAGCAGAUCAUUCAGGUGGGCGAUAGGAAUGCAAGGUACAAGACUCGCCAGACCUUCACAAACACCAAAAACGCCACUGUUGAUCCUAGAGCUCUUUCUAUGUUUGAGCAUGCCUCAAAGCUUGUCGGAAUUGAUGAGCCAAGCAUGAGAUUAUCAAACUGUUGA
rnacentral:rRNA from 1 species